UUCUUCGGGGAGGGGUGAAAGUCCCUACCGGCGGUAUAGCCCGCGAACCUGCUUCCGGCAGGCCGAACCGGUGAGAAUCCGGUGCCGACAGUUACAGUCUGGAUGAGAGAAGA
rnacentral:ncRNA from 1 species